CCGUGGAGGGUCAUUGGAAACUGGGGAACUUGAGUGCAGAAGAGGAGAGUGGAAUUCCACGUGUAGCGGUGAAAUGCAUAGAGAUGUGGAGGAACACCAGUGGCGAAGGCGACUCUCUGGUCUGUAACUGACGCUGAGGCGCGAAAGCGUGGGGAGCGAACAGGAUUAGAUACCCUGGUAGUCCACGCCGUAAACGAUGAGUGCUAAGUGUUAGAGGGUUUCCGCCCUUUAGUGCUGCAGCAAACGCAUUAAGCACUCCGCCUGGGGAGUACGGUCGCAAGACUGAAACUCAAAGGAAUUGACGGGGGCCCGCACAAGCGGUGGAGCAUGUGGUUUAAUUCGAAGCAACGCGAAGAACCUUACCAGGUCUUGACAUCCUUCGCUACUUCUAGAGAUAGAAGGUUCCCCUUCGGGGGACGAAGUGACAGGUGGUGCAUGGUUGUCGUCAGCUCGUGUCGUGAGAUGUUGGGUUAAGUCCCGCAACGAGCGCAACCCUUGAUCUUAGUUGCCAGCAUUCAGUUGGGCACUCUAAGGUGACUGCCGGUGACAAACCGGAGGAAGGUGGGGAUGACGUCAAAUCAUCAUGCCCCUUAUGACCUGGGCUACACACGUGCUACAAUGGAUGGUACAAAGGGCUGCAAGACUGCGAAGUCAAGCCAAUCCCAUAAAACCAUUCUCAGUUCGGAUUGCAGGCUGCAACUCGCCUGCAUGAAGCCGGAAUCGCUAGUAA
rnacentral:rRNA from 2 species